rnacentral:rRNA from 2 species
GGGGAAUAUUGCACAAUGGGGGAAACCCUGAUGCAGCGACGCCGCGUGAGCGAAGAAGGCCUUCGGGUCGUAAAGCUCUGUCCUAAGGGAAGAUAAUGACGGUACCUUAGGAGGAAGCCCCGGCUAACUACGUGCCAGCAGCCGCGGUAAUACGUAGGGGGCGAGCGUUGUCCGGAAUUAUUGGGCGUAAAGGGUGCGUAGGCGGUCUUGUAAGUCAGAUGUUAAAGCCCUCGGCUUAACCGAGGUAAGCAUAUGAAACUGCAGGGCUUGAGUGCAGGAGAGGAGAGUGGAAUUCCUAGUGUAGCGGUGAAAUGCGUAGAUAUUAGGAGGAACACCAGUGGCGAAGGCGACUCUCUGGACUGUAACUGACGCUGAGGCACGAAAGCGUGGGUAGCGAACA